AUCGCCACAUCGUCAACCAAGGUUUAAACUGUCGUGUCACGGGGGCGUGCCGCUGUCUGUUUGGCACGCUACGACACCGGCACGCUUCUGUGUUGAUACAUGGUAUGUUUGCGUGCCAAUGGAUAAGCAUGACCUCCUACUGGCACGUUUUGGUACGGAUUUAUUUCAUUUUUUUUUUUGUUUCAAUAAGCUCUUAUAAUAUUAUUUUAAAAAAUUUAAUCAAAUAAUUAUGAAUAUUUGUUAUGUAUAGCUUACUAUACUCAUCAAUUAAUAUAUUUGUAAGUUUUUUUUGUAUGUAAAGUAUAAUUAUAUUUGAUGCAGAAUAGAAAUUUUUAUAUGUUAGAAUUUUUAAAAUGUAAAGGCAUUUUUUUUUUCUUUUGAUCAUAUUACAGUCUUUCUUUUAUAAAAUACAAAAAAAAAAUUAUUUUAAAAAAUAUUUUAAAAAAAUAUUUUUUAAAAAAAUUAGUAGAUCUAUCAAAAGAAUUAAGCAAUAAAUUAUAUGAUAAAUAAAUUAAAUAAAUUUAAGUAUCAAUUAAUUUAAUUAGAUUUUAAUUUUAUCAGUAUUUUUAAUUUUCUAGGGUAAAAAUAAAAUUUUAUGUUUGAUGUGGCUCAAAUUUUGUUUAUUGAGUUCGAUUUUGUUCUCUUAAUUUAUCAAAAAUUUCGCGGUACGAUAAAUUUUGAUAAAAUAAUUUGUGAAAAAAUAAAUAUCUGUGAUGGAAACGGAGGGCUCGGACAAAUUUUUUGUCCGUAUAUUGAUAAAUAAAAGAAAUGAAAUUAUAAGUUUUUUUGACUUAUCUAAUAAAUAAAUUUUCGAUCUGCAAUGCCUUUGGGGGGCGUGGAGUAUUCAAAAUGCUUUGGAUAUUUCAAAGAACAAAACAAAAGAAAGGAAAAAUAAAAAGAAAAAAAAGCACAGUGCUGGCACGGCACUGUGCCGUGUCACGCUGCGCCGUGCCUCUUUGUCUCGUGCGGCAUGAUGCUAC
rnacentral:lncRNA from 1 species